AGUGGCAGCAGAAGAAGAAGAGCAAGAAAGACGCUGCGCAAGAUAAAAGGGCUAAAUUGGACCCUGAUAAU
rnacentral:tRNA from 1 species